rnacentral:misc_RNA from 1 species
AGGCUCUCCUUGGCUCUCUCCCAUUCGCCGCCCUCCGCCCUCCUCUCCAGCUCUGUCGCGCCAUCUCGACUCCCCUGUGGUUCGCUCUGCUGUGCACCUCCGCUUCACCUUUCUCAGCAUUUCGGCGCGAGGUUUCGAAGAUGGGGUGCAAGUUCACCUUUCUCGUCUACGCGAUCCUCCAGCUCAUCGCGUUCCUUUCCGUGCUGAUCGGUACGCCGCUGGAGAUGUUUCGUGGCACCACGAGGGACCCGUAUAACGUAUCCUUGUGCAUCACUUUAUGGGGUACAAAGUACGACUUCCAAUGCCACUUCAUCAUGUACGCCCAGACGACGGACGGGCAGUGGGCGCGUUGCACGACCCGCCGCCAACAUUUCCGCAUGGCUGAGGCGUUGGUAGUCAUCUCCAUCAUCCUGUACGCCUUGGCGGCGCUGCUUGGCUUCAUUAUGCUGUUCUGCUGCUCUUUGCUCCGCUGGGUAUGCCUGGCGCUCAACGUCGUUGGCCUCUUAACGUUGGGCAUCACCUGGGGCCUUAUGGUGACGGAGUUCAACAAGGGUGACGGCCCACUUUGCCCUCCUCUGAAGAACAACUACAAGUUUGGCUACGGCUUCUUUCUCCUGUUGGUGGCCUGGGUCCUGGAUCUCGUCGACAUCGUCUUCUUGCUGUUCCCGUUGCCGACUAUGCGCGCAGAUGAGAGUGAGAAAUCGAACGAAAGCGUAGAGCAGGAGUAGGCGGAAGGGAGCCGCAGGAGGCGGAGGGGCGGUGUUGCUAGCCGCGCGGCAGCUUCGCGACGACGCGCUCGUGGAGGAGCCGGCGGAGCUGAUGUCAGCGUGCCAGAGGGAGGGAGCGAGGGCUGCGGAUACUCGCCCCUGCCCUUCGCCGGCAGCUCUCCGUCUGCUGCUCGCUGCCCUCUCGUGCGUGCGCGUGAGGUGCGCCGCACGCGCUGCCGAGGGGGUGCAGACGUGCAGGCACGCCCUGGCAUGCACAUGCCGAGGAGCCGCUCUCGCUUUCUGCGCUUCCGCGUCUCUUUCUCCGUUUCCCGUCGUGCUGCAUUGCUGUCGAGUGCCAGUGCGGCGUAUGCGGGCACUUGCUGACGUGUUCAUGGUUUCUCCCUCGCCUGUCUUCGUCUUCUCGUGCGUGUGCCGCUUGUUGAGCUUUCCGCCUCUCGCCUCGCUGUUGCCUUUUCUGCUGACCUGCGCAGCGGUCUGCGCGUUGUGGUGGGCAGCGCACCCUUGACGGCGACCCGCCCACCGAUGACCCCUCCCUCCCCCUCUGAGCGGUCGCCCUCGCUGCCUUGUUGAAGCAGGCCCCCCCCCUCUCCCCCGCACGCUCGGCGGGCGCAGCCUUGGCGAGACGAGAGGGCGAGCGGGGAAGCGAGGGGGUGGCACGGGCGUCGCCGGCCGGAGCAUUGAGGUGUGCAAGCGAGGGUGCACGGCUGCGAGGGCGAGGGAAGGCCGACGACGAGAACGGGCGAGGAAGAGACGGACGCGCUGGAAAGAGGGACGGUGAGCGCAAGGCCGCCACCGCACUGGUGGCCAGCCUCCGCCCCUCCCUCCGUACAUCGGUGUCGCGGCCGCGCGUGUUUCCUGUACUUCUCUGGGGCGCCCCCUCUCGCCCCGUCUCUGUCUCCUCGCCCUCACGCACGCCGCAUGGACUCCUCAAACGGAGAGGGGGAGGGGGCGGGGUGCCACGUGUGUGGUGGUGGCGGGCGCAGGAACCAAACGGGCUAAUGGGCGGACGGCGCGGGGAGGAGAGAGGACGGCGUCCGCGGACCCAGAAGCGACACACAGGUGCGUACGCAGCGCUAAAGAGGGGCGAUUGCAGCUCUUGCUCCUCUUGGUUCCUUGCGCCCCAUGCACGGCCUACGUGUGCGCGCACACACCGACGCGCGCGCAGGUGCGCAGGAGGGGCGGCACCCCCUGCUGCCGUGUAAGGGGCUGCGGUGUCGGGCGGGGCAGUGGGGAGAGAGAGGGCGAGGCUGGCGAGGUGGCGGGUGGGAGGCUCUCCAUGGUGCACGAAGGGCGACCUCACGUCGGACGUGGGCGUGCGUGGUGAGGCGUGUGCCCUUUGCGUUGCUCUCGAGCCCUCGUCGCGUUUGUGCCCUCCGCUGUUUUCCGUGUCUCUUUCUGCUUCCGCAUGGACGCGCGCCUCCCCUCGACCCCCGCUGUCGCACACGGCAUGCGCGUGUGUGCCGGUGCAUGCGCCCUUGUGACCGUCCUCCCCCUUCCUCAGCGGAUGCCCCCCUCCCCGCCGCCCCUCUCUUGCUGCGGCGACUGCCCCGCGCUCCUCGCACUCCCAGGGAGGAAGAAGCGCCGCUGCGACAGGAGAGCCGCCGAGCACACCCUCUGUCCCGCCCCCCUCCUUAUGUUGCCGCUGCUUCCUCCUCUCGUCUCGUGCUCUUGUGCGCACCCGCCGCUACGCGUCUUCACUUGCUUUGCUGCUCUUUUCCGCGUGCCGGUACCCGCGCUCCCCUUUCUCUCGGUCCUCCGCAGGCCACGGACGCGUGGGGCCCGCCUGCGUGUGCGUGUGCGUGUGCGUCUCUCCCGUCGCUUUAUGCGCGCCGCUGUCCUUCUCUUGUGCCUCUCUCCCCGUGCGCAGGCGAGAGGGGCUGGCUGAGACGGCGAAGAGAACGGCCACGGCAGCACAGCGGAGCAGGGGGACGGGGGAGGGGUGAGUGCGCAACGGCGACGGCGCCCCCAAAGGAUAGGGGGCUAGCCCUUCAACAGGAGUGCGUGCCUGCGUGUGUGUGCUUGUCUCUGUGCGCGUUGUGUCUUUAUUAUGUCUUCGCCUUUCUUGUGUCGCUUCUUUUGCUUUUCUUUGUUUCGAUGCCUAAUCACACCACCGAGUCCUCCAG